rnacentral:rRNA from 1 species
GAUGAACGCUGGCGGCGCGCCUAAUACAUGCGAGUCGAGCGAACGGACGAGAAGCUUGCUUCUCUGAUGUUAGCGGCGGACGGGUGAGUAACACGUGGAUAACCUACCUAUAAGACUGGGAUAACUUCGGGAAACCGGAGCUAAUACCGGAUAAUAUUUUGAACCGCAUGGUUCAAAAGUGAAAGACGGUCUUGCUGUCACUUAUAGAUGGAUCCGCGCUGCAUUAGCUAGUUGGUAAGGUAACGGCUUACCAAGGCAACGAUGCAUAGCCGACCUGAGAGGGUGAUCGGCCACACUGGAACUGAGACACGGUCCAGACUCCUACGGGAGGCAGCAGUAGGGAAUCUUCCGCAAUGGGCGAAAGCCUGACGGAGCAACGCCGCGUGAGUGAUGAAGGUCUUCGGAUCGUAAAACUCUGUUAUUAGGGAAGAACAUAUGUGUAAGUAACUGUGCACAUCUUGACGGUACCUAAUCAGAAAGCCACGGCUAACUACGUG